UGGAUACUUCAAGCCCCAGCGACUCAAACUCCUUCUGCAGAGAGUCCCAGACUUCCCAAGUGGCACAGCCCUGUGGAUCGGGCCAAGAAGAUGCCCGCACUCAAGCAGACAGCACAGGCCCUCUGGAACUCCUCCUCCUUGAUCAACUGCUGGACGAAGUCCAAAAGGAAGAGCAUGUGCCAGUCCCACUGGAUUGGGGUAGAAAUCCUGGCAGCAGGGAGCAUGAAGGUUCCCAGGACAGCUUACUGCCCCUGGAGGAAGCAGCAAAUUCGGGCAUGGAUACCUCGAUCCCUAGCAUCUGGCCAACCUUCUGCAGAGAAUCCCAGCCUCCCCAAGUGGCACAGCCCUCUGGACCAGGCCAAGCACAGGCCCCCACUCAAGGUGGGAACACGGACCCUCUGGAGCUCUUCCUUGAUCAACUGCUGACCGAAGUCCAACUUGAGGAGCAGGGGCCUGCCCCUGUGAAUGUGGAGGAAACAUGGGAGCAAAUGGACACAACACCUGAUCUGCCUCUCACUCCAGAAGAAUAUCAGACUCUUCUAGAUAUGCU
rnacentral:lncRNA from 1 species